rnacentral:rRNA from 1 species
CCUACGUGAGGCAGCAGUGAGGAAUAUUGGUCAAUGGGCGCGAGCCUGAACCAGCCAAGUAGCGUGAAGGAUGACUGCCCUACGGGUUGUAAACUUCUUUUAUAAAGGAAUAAGGUGAGGCACGUGUGCCUUUUUGUAUGUACUUUAUGAAUAAGGAUCGGCUAACUCCGUGCCAGCAGCCGCGGUAAUACGGAGGAUCCGAGCGUUAUCCGGAUUUAUUGGGUUUAAAGGGAGCGUAGAUGGGUUGUUAAGUCAGUUGUGAAAGUUUGCGGCUCAACCGUAAAAUUGCAAUUGAUACUGGCAGUCUUGAGUACAGUUGAGGUAGGCGGAAUUCGUGGUGUAGCGGUGAAAUGCUUAGAUAUCACGAAGAACUCCGAUUGCGAAGGCAGCUUACUAAACUGCCACUGACAUUGAUGCUCGAAAGUGUGGGUAUCAAACAGGAUUAGAUACCCCAGUAGUC